rnacentral:rRNA from 1 species
UGGGGCGUAAAGCGCGCGUAGGCGGCUUGGCAAGUUGGAUGUGAAAGCCCUGGGCUCAACCCAGGAUGUGCAUUCAAAACUGCCUGGCUUGAAGCUCGGAGGGGGUAAGGGAAUUCCCGGUGUAGAGGUGAAAUUCGUAGAUAUCGGGAGGAACACCAGUGGCGAAGGCGCUGACCGGGACGAUGAUUGACGCUGAGGCGCGAAAGCGUGGGGAGCAAACAG